CAAUUUUAAUUAUUUAUUUAAGAAAAACACACUUCAUUAGAGUAAGGCAUAUUUGGUAUGUUCACCAACACAGCCUCUGGAUUAUUUUAAUGCAGGACUACUGUCAGGAAGCUAAUAUCCAUACAGAUUUCACACUGUCAUUCACUGUAUAUUCAGCUAAUUUGAAUAGUUGUAUGGAUUAAGAGGGUAUUUGGACAGACAUGCAUGUUAGGUUUAUUGCUAAAUGGCCUACAGGAGUGAAAGGGAGUGUGAAUGAUUAUCUAUGUAUAUAGUCUGUGCUCUGUGAUUGGCUGGUGACCAGCCAGUCGUGUACCCUGCCUCUCCACUAAGUCUGCUGAGACAUCCCCCCCACAGCCGUUGUGAGGCUAAAUGAUACUGAAGAAUGAACAACUGAGUGUUUAUAGUGGACCGGCCAAGUAUCCAAAAAGCAUCCAGAUUUGAUUUUAUGGGCAUUUGAUGUUAAUGCCAGGUAUCUUUGAUUUUUGAAAAUUUACAAAUGUUAUGACAAACAAUUCAAGGAUGGAUGCUAUGCUUAACUUUCAGUUUUUAAGUAACUCAGAUGGUCAUCAAUUGGAGCCUUAAACUUGGUCAUGAAACAUUUCAGGAAAAGAAGAGACAACACAAAAGGAGUUACACAUGGCAACAAUAACCAUGUUUAAUGCAGCCAGGGAACAGGAACAAUUUGGCCACGGACAUAGAGAAAAAAGACAUGAGGAACACAAGAACAGGAGGAGAAAGGUUCCCAGAGAUGUCUGCUACUGUUGUGGUCAACUUGGACACUGGAUACGCAAAUGUCCCAUGACAACAUCAUUAACUCCAGUAAACACAUCAGACUGAGGAUGGUUGGGGAUGGUCGGAGGGAGAUGGAUUCCUGCUGACAAGCUGAACCAACCUGUGAAAUCAAAGGAAGGAAAUGCAAGAGCUGAUGCCGCAGCAGAAAGAGCAACCCUCCAACCCUCCUGCUCUGAUACUUUGCUUGUCUCAAUUUCUGCUUCUAUUCCCAACUCUCUCACAGCAAUACAGGCAUUUGCCACACCACAACAAAAGACAUUGUGGAGAGGCUGUGGUGCCACAUAGAGAGAAGAAGAAGACAACACAUAGAGAGAAGAAGACAACAAACCCUGUCUGCCCAAACAUUUCUUCCUUCACUUUGCUAAAUUGACACAUGGGUGUCAAAAGGGGGGAAGAUGGAUGCCAUAAUCCAACACUGGUUCACCGAGGGUUUUUCCAUCUAUGCGCAGAAAUUGUGUCAAUCAUGUAUGGUUUGUGCAACGCGUAAUGCAGGUA